UCUUCAUUCAUUUUCUCUCAUCCAUCCUUUCUCUCUCUCGAAACUUUAAGUCUCGUCGUCUUCUUCCUUUGUUUCGAGGACUGAGUUUGCUCCGGUGAGAUUGCUAAUCGGCGUCGCCUCAUAUCACAAGUAACUGGGAAAAUGGCAGAUAUUGACCUUUCUUCUAGGCUUUUGCGGACUGAGAAGAACCUGCCGGUGAUCUUGUUAACAUGUACUUUAAGCUUAAUAUCAUCAAAGCCGUUCUAAAGGCCCUGGCUCCCAAGAAGAUCGAAACCAUUCGACCUAGCUUUGAGAAAAUCAUGGAUCUUUACUGAAAGCCGGUGUUCUCCGAGAAGUUGGCCCACAAUGAUGAUUCCGAGGGAGCAUGUUGAGAUGAUUCGGGAUUUGGAUGUGUUUUUGAAAUAUCCUUGGGGUCGGUACAGUUUUGAUAUGACGCUGCAAUGCAUUAAGUCUAGAUCUUUACUUCAAUUGGCUUAGGCCACUGUUGCCAUCCAAGGUUUUAUACACGCUUUGGUCCUUGUAUUUGUGGAGGCUAUGCCGGCCAUCCUUUCAGUAGGUUGUGAUAGAACCGAACCAGAAUCCGACGAUGAACAUAUGUUCCCUGUAAUUUCUUUGAAAUUAGAUAAAGUGUGGGAAUUGGAUGGAGAA